ACGCUCGACACCUACGGAGGCAGCAGUGGGGAAUAUUGCACAAUGGGGGAAACCCUGAUGCAGCGACGCCGCGUGAGUGAAGAAGUAUUUCGGUAUGUAAAGCUCUAUCAGCAGGGAAGAAAAUGACGGUACCUGACUAAGAAGCCCCGGCUAACUACGUACCAGCAGCCGCGGUAAUCUGAGCGGGCUGGCAAGGC
rnacentral:rRNA from 1 species